rnacentral:lncRNA from 1 species
GCUAAAUCUCAUUUUUCUCGAAGGAGGGAGGAUCUAGAGGCAAGAUCUAUGGUGAAUUAAAGAAUUGAGCUUGAAUUGCAAAGGUAAUUUGAUCCAAUUGAUUGAUUAAUUGAAAUUUGAGGAUUUUUCUCUUCAAAUUGUCUUGGAUGAUUACUACAAUGCAAGUUAGGUAGAUUAAUCAAAUUCUUAAUGCUAGAUUUGAUG